ensembl:lncRNA
CCCAAAAAAUAUCAUAAGGCAUAUGAAAAAUAGUAUGCAACAAUAUAGCAUUAAGAAUCUCACAUCUUUAAUACAUCUCUUAUGCAUACAGAAUCCACACUGAUUUCAAUUAAAAGUGUGUGAAAGUGGCAUGCAAGCAGGGCAAGAGAAGCCCCUACACAUAUGAGACACAGUCAUUUGUUGAGAAAUUUAAGUGUUUGACACAUAACCAACAUUGAAAAGAUAGAGGCCAGCCACUUUCAGUUCUGAAAGUUCUCUUUUAGUUUGCUUUUUAACUCCUUAUAAUUUUCAAAUGAGGAAGUAUCACUGCCUUCCUCACACCACUUUAAAUUCGUUCAUAACAUUUUCUACCAUCUUUCUGCAUUCUUUUCAUCCAUCAAAAGAAACAAAAGUUUCACAUGAAACUGACUUCCCCAAAAGUCAGUGCUAUUCAUUCUUAUUUAUAUGUUUUUCAUGGCAAGUGGAAGUUACAGCCCUUAAUAAAGAUUAUCUGGUGAGAUACUUUCUAAUCUUCUCAUAAUAUACCUCAAUCACAUGCAGCAUUUGGGAUUAAAUCAUCCACAACUAGACAGAGAUGGUUGCUAACAGAGGACGUAUUUCAUUGGCGAAGGACCCAUUUAAUUAACGAAGAAACCUUUAAAAAAUAACUUUUGAAUGCUGAAGCUCUCUGUCCAUAUAAACCAAUUUUACUGUUUUGACUACCUUGAUUGCUUAACUCAACAAGAAAAAAGUCAUUCUUAUUGUUUAAUAGCUCCUGUAUUGACUGAUUUGAUCAUGAUCAUAAUUUUAAAAAGGAGGACUGUUUUCUUUCUUUCUUUUUCUUUUUUGGUACCAGGGAUCGAACUCAGGUCCUCGCGCUUGCCAGGCAGGCACUGUGCCACGGAGCUAUGUCCCCUGCCCCAGGAGGACUGUUUUCUGCAGCAUAGACACAGCUCAAAUAAGUAACUUGGUUACAGUACUGACAGUAUUAAAAGAUAUAGGGAACUCAUGAAACAGAUUCAUCACAUAAUUUCCUAUAAAGUUUUCAUUCAUUCACAGAUGAGUUCUACAUAAUUAAAAAAACAACAACAUGCAACAUUGUCAUGAAAGACAAAGGCAGAGAUAUAAAAGGAAUAACAGUUACAUAAGUAUUUAUUAAAAAUAUCGAUAUGAAGUUUGUUCCAGUUACAUGGGAGUCCAAGCUAACACACAUCCUUAACCAGGAAGUGUCUCAGCUGUGCUCUUGGUGUCCACAGAAGUUAAGGAUUAACAAAAUCUGAAUUUGCAAACCAACUGUAUUAAACAAGUCUCUGGACCUAUUCUCUUAUAGACUUCGAGCUAGACAUUAUAAAAGGUAAACUCCUUUUCAGUUUGUUUUGUUCCCUAUGACGACUUACUUGUUAAAUUAACCAUGCCUCAUGAUAAAUAUGAACCAAUUCAAAGAAAACUUGACUCACAUAGAAGAAAUGAAAGGGUGACAAGUGCAUUUUGGCAAACAGGUUAAAAUCUAAAGGGAAAGCUAUUUCAACACGCUAUGCAUUUAGUUUUGCAGCAAAGUUAGCAGUAGUAGUAAGAAAUUUGAUCACUAGUUCUUGACAAUUAUUUUUCCCUUUAAAGACAGACUGUCUUCUCUAGAGAAGAGGUAGUAUAAAUAUCCAUGUAGGGCAAUUUCUAUAGUGAUAUUAUGUUGGUUUGUUUUUUUAACAAAUACCAAAGUGAAACUGUACAACUAAGAAAUAUGUUAGCAUGCAAAUUAAAGUUGCCUAGAAACAUUCUUCACUUACAUCCUGGGUCUCAACAAUAUUUUGUGAUAUGUUCAUUUAAAGACUUUACAUUUGUAAAUCAUCUUUUACCAUGAUUUCCUUCCCUCACUCCCUUUUACUGCCCCACUUUCUAUGAGAAAUUUUAAGGCCCUCACACAAAAGACAAGUUCAAGUAUGCAGGUAUGAAAAGAGGUUAACAUUCCAAAAAUACAUUUUGCAAACAACAACUACAAUAAUUAUUUGAGUAAAUAGCAAAUUACUUAAAGGGAACUUUACUCAGGAUUUGUUUCACAUUUAAAAAUUCAUUUCAUUAAGGACAAAAUGC